AUGCAUCUCUUUGACAGACCUAGAGCAGUUAUGUCUGCUGCUGAGGUUUCCAGUACAGAUGCAAGAAAAAGUGUCCUCGCGCUUUCUGUCUGAAUGAUUGUGGCAGCCAAGAUUGAGUAGAGGACUACAGGG